GAUGAACGCUGGCGGCGUGCCUAAUACAUGCAAGUCGAGCGAACGGACGAGAAGCUUGCUUUUCUGAUGUUAGCGGCGGACGGGUGAGUAACACGUGGAUAACCUACCUAUAAGACUGGGAUAACUUCGGGAAACCGGAGCUAAUACCGGAUAAUAUUUUGAACCGCAUGGUUCAAAAGUGAAAGACGGUCUUGCUGUCACUUAUAGAUGGAUCCGCGCUGCAUUAGCUAGUUGGUAAGGUAACGGCUUACCAAGGCAACGAUGCAGAGCCGACCUGAGAGGGUGAGGGGCGACAGUGGAAUUGAGACAGGGAUCAGACCCCUACGGGAGGCAGCGGUAGGGGAUGGGAAGAAAGGGGAGAAAGCCUGACGGAGCAACGCCGAGGGAGUGAUGAAGGUCUUCGGAUCGGAAAACUAUGUUAUUAGGGAAGAAGAGAUGGGUAAGUAACUGUGCACGUCGUGACGGUACCUAAAGAGAAAGCCACGGCUAACUACGUG
rnacentral:rRNA from 1 species